rnacentral:misc_RNA from 1 species
AAGUCGUAACAAGGUUUCCGUAGGUGAACCUGCGGAAGGAUCAUUAACACGUAUUCAAACGUUAAAACCCCCCCCGUGAACCUUCAUCCUGCUCUCCUUGUCCGUUGAGAAAGCAAUCCCUGGUAAAUCACACGAACAGUUUGAUUCAGGGACCUCUUUUGAUGACGCACUUGGAUUCGAUGCGGCGUCGUAAUUUAGACUUGGUUUCUGGAAGGCUAUCAACGAGUCAAAUCGUUGACUGACGAUAAAGGAUGCUGCCUAACAAGCAGAUCACUGAUCCUUACGGUCAGUGGACAAGUCUCUGGGCUUCGGCCCCCCAUAUUAACCCCAGUUCUCAAUUCGGAGGAUGCGGAAACGCUCCUCAUAAAAACGAACAACUGUUAACAAUGGAUAUCUUGGUUCUC